rnacentral:rRNA from 1 species
UACAGAGGGGGCAAGCGUUAUUCGGAAUUAUUGGGCGUGAAGGGCGCGUAGGCGGCAUGGCAAGUGGAAGGUGAAAUCCCUCGGCUUAACCGAGGAACUGCCUGUCAGACUGGAAGGCUUGAGACCGGGAGAGGUGAGUGGAAUUCCCAGUGUAGCGGUGAAAUGCGUAGAUAUUGGGAGGAACACCAGUGGCGAAGGCGGCUCACUGGACCGGAACUGACGCUGAGGCGCGAAAGCGUGGGGAGCAAACAGG